GAACGCUGGCGGCGUGCUUCAUACAUGCAAGUCGAGCGAGAAUCUCUAGCUUGCUAGGAGAGGAAAGUGGCGGACGGGUGAGUAAAAUGUAGGUAAUCUGCCUUUAAGCGGGGGACAACAGUUGGAAACGAUUGCUAAUACCCCAUAUGAGCGUACCUGAGAUGGUAUUCUUGAAAACUCCGGUGCUUAGAGAUGAGCCUGCAUCUGAUUAGCUAGUUGGGGGUGUAAUGGACCACCAAGGCGACGAUCAGUAGCUGGUUUGAGAGGAUGAUCAGCCACAAUGGGACUGAGACACGGCCCAUACUCCUACGGGAGGCAGCAGUAGGGAAUUUUGCGCAAUGGGGGAAACCCUGACGCAGCAACGCCGCGUGAAUGAGACGGCCUUCGGGUUGUAAAGUUCUGUCAAUAGGGACGAAAAAUGACGGUACCUAUAGAGGAAGCACCGGCUAACUCCGUGCCAGCCGCUGC
rnacentral:rRNA from 1 species